UUUAGGCUUAGGCUUAGGCUGAGACUUAGGCUUAGGCUGAGGUUGAGGCUUAGGCUCAGGCUUAGGCUCAACCUUGGCUAAACUUCAGACUUGGUUUAGGCUUGAGCUUAGGCUUAAGAAUAGGAUUAGGCCUAGGCCUAUGCUU
ensembl:ncRNA Y39A3A.8 ncRNA